GCAGGAUUCAUUACUUGCAGCAAGUAAGGAAAACACUGGGGAUCUUUCCCAAAGCAGUGUCUACCCAAAUACCAAAAUCAGAUCAUAGGUAUUCCACUUAAGAGCCACAUUCAGACCUGAUGUAGAUCACAAGAUUCUGGACUUUGAGCCUAAUGUCAUGAUUGGAUGCAUCUUUUGGAGGUCCUGAAAUGGGGAUGAGCCUAUUUUGCAUGGAAGGAGAACAGAAAUAAUUGUGGCCAGAGGACAGAUUGGGACUUUCUAGGUGGCGCAGUGGUUAAGAAUCCGCCUGCCAAUGCAGGGGACAGGGGCUCGAUCCCUGCUCCAGGAAGAUCCCACAUGCUUCAGAGCAACUAAGCCUGUGUGCCACAACUCUUGAGCCUGUGUGCUGCAACUACUGAAGCCCACACGCCUAGACCUCAUGCUCUGCAACAAGAGAAACCACUGCAAUGAGGAGCCUGUGCACCACAAUGAAGCGUAGCCCCCACUUUCUGCAACUAGGGAAAGCCCACGUGCAGCAACGAAGACCCAGUGCAGCCAAUAAGUAAA